ACAUGGCAACCCGGGUGGAUUACCACGGCCAAGAGAAUACAAAAAUACUAAUUUAAAAAAAAAAAUCCUGGUAAUGUACUUACACAAUGGUAUGGAUUAGAUUUAGGUUGGCUAAUAUUUUGUUAAACACGAGGUAUUUAUUUCUAAUACUUAAUAUUGGGCAUGAGGUCUUUUUAUUACAACAAAUGUGAUGUACAUAGCUUUAGUAGGUACAGAGGGAUAAAGUUGAUGAGUCAUACCAUGACGAUAUGGGAGAGUUACUGAAGGUAGGUUAAGAAAAAAGGUAACGAUCAGAUCAGCAGAAUAGCUUCAUGCAUGUCUGAGGGUGGUGCAGGGCACUGAGACAGUGGGGAGGUGUGCUGUAGAAGUGACAGGCCUGGUUUGAGUCCCUACAUGUUUGCAGUGAUGGUGCACAGACUGACAGAUAAGGUCUGUCAGGAGGCUCUGUGGACUAUGGUAUUGCAGAUGAUAUUGUGAGCUGUAGUGACAGCAGGGAGCACGUGGCAGAGAGGUAGAGGUAUGCACUGGUGAGAAAAGGGAUGAAAAUCAGAAGAAAAAAGACAUUUAUGAAUGACAGGGAGAUCGGUGUAGCAGUGAGGCUGCAAGGAGCAGAGGUAGUGAAGAUAGAUGAGUUUAAAUACCUGAGGUCAACCAGCCAAAGCAAUGGACAGUGAAUAAGAGAGUGCAGGCAGAGUCAAGUGGGUGCAGAUGUUUAUUUGUGACAGAAGGAUAGCAGCAAGACUGAAAGGGAAGGUUUUCAAGAUGGUAGCGAUGCCUGCUGUGAUGCAUGAAUUGGACACGGUGGUACUGACAACAAAAACAGGAGGAAGAGCUGAAGAUGUUAAUUAAAACAUCAGAGGAACAGCUCAGGUUGAGAAGCAAGGCUGUGAUGGUUUGGAUGGUUUGGACAUGUGCAGAGGAAGGACUGGGGUUAUAAUGGACAAAGGAUGAUGAAGAUGGAACUAGCGGAAAGGAGGAAGACCUCACCUCAGAGAAGGUUCAUGGAUGUAGUGGAGGAAGACAUGCAGAACGUUGUCACUUGGAUGAGUGGCAGAACGUUUCUCCCGCUGAAAACGUUACAUCCUGAUGAACAGAAUCAACGUUUUGGGAUUUCCUUACCUGGAUCGAGCAUGCAUUAAGACGUUACAUGGUAGAGUGUGAACAUAAUGUGCAGAUGCACUGAGCUUUGGUCACUCUUGGUGGUUCUCUGUAGUUUCCCUGAAGCCCAUGCAGUGACCAGCUCAGUGUUUGAUGGAUAAAGGAACAUGCAUGUGUCUACAGUUAAAAAGGAUUUGGCUACUUCCUGAUUUAUUUAUUUGAAUCUAUUUUGCACAUUUGUCACACUUAAACAUGUCUGAUAAAACAAAUUUUAAUGUUAGUCAGAGAGGUGCAGUCCUCCUGAUCUGCUGCCCAGUUGCCUCUUAAACUAGUUGUGCCUCCCUCACCAGUAAAAACUGCAAACAAGUGUUUGUGAUAAUGGACAACAAGUGUUUCACAUCACUGUGGAGGAACUUUGGCCCACUCUUCUUUGAAGAAAUGUUUUAAUUCAGCCACACUGGAGGAUAUUCCAGGAUGAAUGGGAUGUUUAAGGUCAUCCCAAAGGAUCUCAGUCAGCUUUAAGUCUGGACUUUGACUCGGCCAAUCCAAAACCUUCAUUUUGGUUUUUGAGCCAUUCAGAGCUGGACCCACUGGUGUGAUUUUGACCAUUGUCCUGCUGGAUAACCAACCUGCUCUUCAUCUUGACAGCCUAACUGAUAGUGGGACAUUCUUCUUCAGGAAUGUUGACUCAGAUUCUCACCACAAAGGGGCAGCUUUAAGUCUGGCAGCUUUUUUCCCAACUAGGUGUUCUGAUGUUUUCAGAUGACACGCUCUUGUUCUUUAAACGUUCCUUUUAGCUCUACUUCCAUUUCUUCAAGAUGCUUUACUUUUUUGUCAGUGGAAAUAAAAACGUGUUCUUUAUAACUUGCCUUGUUAAAUAAAGCUUACAUUGAAUAACAACACCAUCUGGUACAAAUUGGUAUUACCCUAAAGUACAGCCUUGCCACAUUCAGUUAUCUUUUUAACAACAUACAUGGAUGUUUCGUACAUAAAGUCAAUUUUUCCAGACCGCUUUGAAUAUAUAGGAAGGCAACAAUAACUUAAUUAACGAGUUGUUACAACCAGGGUGUGCAGAGGAGCACAAAGCUUGCAGCAGAUGUGCAACAGCAGCAGAAGACCACGCCCAUUGAGCCUCCUGAGGUUACAGACCACACAGGUUCACUAAAAGUUAGCCACAGAAGAGUGCAAAAAUGUUGCCUGGUCUGCAACAUUCAGAUGGAAGAAAGGUAAUUUAACUGACUUUGAAUGUGGCAUGGUUGUGGCGUCUGAAUUUGGCUUAACAUGAAAUAAUGGCUCCAUCCUGCCUUGUAUCAGCGGAUUCAGGUUGGUGGUGGUGUGAGGGAUCAUUUGUCGGCACACUCAUGGAUGUGAAGCCAACAAAUCUGCAGCAACUGUGUGAUGCUUUCAUCUCAAUCUGGAACAAAAUCUCUGAGGAGUGUUUCCGGGACUGUUUGUGAAUCUGUGCUGCAGCCUGUAGAAACUCUGGGACUAAAACAAAUGAAUGUUUUUCCUAUUAGGUCUAACGUCCAGUCUUUAUCUCACUCAGAACACAGAAGCUGCCGUGUGACUCGGGUAUGAAUAAAGAGAGCGGGUCAGGUGUGGUUGCUGUACAAGGAGAGGACAUUUAUUGUAGAAUUCCCAACACCACAGAUGCGUGUUACCAGGUCGAGGUUGUCUUUUGAUUGAUUCCAGUGAUUCAGACGGGGUGAAAACUCACAUGCAUGUCACACACCUGUGCACACACCUGUGCACACACCUGCUCACCUCCACGCACGCGCACACACACGCACUCACGCACACUCAGAGGCUAACAAUCGUACAUAUGUUCACAGUCUUGAUACGUACAAAAAUUGAAAUACAAAUACAAAUAAUACCACAAUAAAAACAUUGUACUGUUUGAUUUUUUUUUAGAAAUUCUUAUAGCUAUGUUCUCUAUUCUGUAGAAAGACAACUAUGCUUUAAUAAGUGAACAUUAUUUUUUUGUCUUUCUCUAAAAUGAUCAGUAGGAUAUCAUCAUCAUAACGAAAAUUCUUACAGUAUAUAUCUCUUUUUUUAAUCUAUGGUUUCUCAAGCUGACCCUGCCUCCUGACCUUUAUUCACAGGGUGCUGCUAACAUCCUGCACAUGUAAAAGGCUUCAGCUGGCCUUAACGCGCCAUCACUCGCCCCCUCCACCAUCUCUUUUAAAAACAGCAAAAGAAGAUCAAGUAAAGGAUGGAGCAGCUUCCUUCUAUAAACACAAGCGCGUACAGUCAGCAAAGGCUCAGCUCCAGCCUUUAAGAAGACGCUCCUGCUCGCUCUUUACCAGCUGCACUCUGGAAAUGAUCGUGAACAUAAAAACUUUAAUGGUAAACGUGUGACCCUCCAGUGUGCAGUUCAGCAGAUAAAAGCCCAGCUGUUGUUUUCAGCUCAGAGAUGUAGGGUACACAGUCAGACGUCCCCCGCCCCACCGCGUAUUGCCUCAAAUUUACAACUCAUAACAAGUAACGGCGGG